rnacentral:rRNA from 1 species
UCAUCUCGUGUCGUGAGAUGUUGGGUUAAGUCCCGCAACGAGCGCAACCCUUGUUCACUGUUGCCAGCACGUUAUGGUGGGGACUCAGUGGAGACCGCCGAGGGUCAACUCGGAGGAAGGUGGGGAUGACGUCAAGUCAUCAUGCCCCUUAUGUCCAGGGCUUCACGCAUGCUACAAUGGCUGGUACAAAGAGUGGCGAGCCUGUGAGGGUGAGCGAAUCUCGGAAAGCCUGUCUCAGUUCGGAUUGGGGUCUGCAACUCGACCUCAUGAAGUCGGAGUCGCUAGUAAUCGACAGAUCAGCAACGCUGCGGUGAAUACGUUCCCGGGUCUUGUACACACCGA